UACGAAGGGGGCUAGCGUUGUUCGGAUUUACUGGGCGUAAAGCGCACGUAGGCGGUUUGUUAAGUCAGGGGUGAAAUCCCGGAGCUCAACUCCGGAACUGCCUUUGAUACUGGCAGCUAGAGUCCGGAAGAGGUAAGUGGAACUCCUAGUGUAGAGGUGGAAUUCGUAGAUAUUAGGAAGAACACCAGUGGCGAAGGCGGCUUACUGGUCCGGAACUGACGCU
rnacentral:rRNA from 1 species